rnacentral:rRNA from 1 species
UACGAAGGGGGCUAGCGUUACUCGGAUUGACUGGGCGUAAAGGGCGCGUAGGCGGUUUGUACAGUCAGACGUGAAAUUCCUGGGCUCAACCUGGGGGCUGCGUUUGAUACGUGCGGACUUGAGUUCGGAAGAGGGUCGUGGAAUUCCCAGUGUAGAGGUGAAAUUCGUAGAUAUUGGGAAGAACACCGGUGGCGAAGGCGGCGACCUGGUCCGAUACUGACGCUGAGGAGCGAAAGCGUGGGGAGCGAACAGG